GCAAUGAUGAAUUCCUUGUUAUUUGGAUAUGCUUGUUGUUUCUUGCUGCCCACUUGGGUUUUAUUUAUUUGGGUGGAUUUAUUUCACUUGUCAGAUUCUCCAAGUUCAUGCUUUGAUUUUCUGAUUCAAUUCAAUAUUCAAGUUGCAUGUGCUUCCCUACAUAUUAUUCAAGUGCCAGGGGUUUGAACAAACCCCAGUUGUGCAAAUUGGUCCUUAUGUUCAGGCAGUGGUGAAGCCAGCCCAGGAAAUGAUCUAGGGCGGAGUUCUACGAUAAAUUUUUUGCACGGUUGGAACAAAGCACCGAGGUAGCAUGCCUGGCUGCAGGCGCCCACAGUGGCGCACGGGAUCCGCUGGCGUGGUCGGUGGGUGCCGAGGCGGGGCUCGCUGAUCAUGUUUGCAUGGGAUGGGAGUAGCCACUUCAUGAUGAGCAUGCACACAUUUUUUCGAUUCAUUAAACAAAUGUCUAGGCUGAAUAAUUCCUUUGAUUUUGAGAACUGUCGUGUGGUCGAUUGGAUGUCGGUUAAGUUUACUCGGUCGUGUUAGUUGAUGUGGAGUUCUUGAUAAUAUUUUUUAUACCAUCUUGCUUAUAUGACUUGUGUGCCCGCAAAUGUUAGAAUUUAUAGAGGAGACAUUGCUGAAA